rnacentral:rRNA from 1 species
CGGCGUGCCUAAUACAUGCAAGUCGAACGGUCUUUCUAUGGAAGCUUGCUUCCACUGAGAAGAUAGUGGCGAACGGGUGAGUAACACGUGGGUAACCUGCCCAUAAGAGGGGGAUAACAUCCGGAAACGGGUGCUAAUACCGCAUAGUUUUCUUGAUCGCAUGAUUGAGAAAGGAAAGACGGCCUUUGUGCUGUCGCUUAUGGAUGGACCCGCGGCGUAUUAGUUAGUUGGUGAGGUAACGGCUCACCAAGACGAUGAUACGUAGCCGACCUGAGAGGGUGAUCGGCCACAUUGGGACUGAGACACGGCCCAAACUCCUACGGGAGGCAGCAGUAGGGAAUCUUCCGCAAUGGACGAAAGUCUGACGGAGCAACGCCGCGUGAGUGAAGAAGGUUUUCGGAAUCGUAAAACUCUGUUGUCAGAGAAGAACAAGUUGGAGAGUAACUGCUCCAGCCUUGACGGUAUCUGACCAGAAAGCCACGGCUAACUACGUGCCAGCAGCAGC